rnacentral:rRNA from 1 species
UACGUAGGCAGCAAGCGUUGUUCGGAGUUACUGGGCGUAAAGGGUGUGUAGGCGGUUGCUUAAGUUUGGUGUGAAAUCUCCCGGCUCAACUGGGAGGGUGCGCCGAAUACUGAGUGACUCGAGUGCGGGAGAGGAAAGUGGAAUUCCUGGUGUAGCGGUGAAAUGCGUAGAUAUCAGGAGGAACACCGGUGGUGUAGACGGCUCUCUGGACCGUAACUGACGCUGAAACACGAAAGCGUGGGGAGCGAACCGG